UCUGAAUUCAAUAAGGAAUUCAGAAUUCUUCUAACUGAUUUAUUUUGAUCAAACUAGCCGCGACCCCGUGUUGUCGUCGGUACAUUUUAAAGCGAUAUCAAGUACAAUUAUUUUUGCAUCAAUACUUUAUUUAUUUAUUAAAAAAGAAAAAUAUAAAUCUGAACGUAAGAUAUAUAAAAGAAGUAAAUAAGUCCAGAUUAAGACACAAUAUAUUUCAUGUUAUAUACUAAGAAUUUCAUGCGACUUUGCUUUAACAGAGUAUGUUGGUAAUCUAAAUUCUGUUUUGUUAAUUCAUUAUUAACGAGUUUAUGCUGCGGAACAAAUAUGAUUUAAUACAAAAAUAUAAGUUAAUAAAACAUGAUUUUAG